GGGGGCGUUACGGAUUCGACAGGUAUAGUUUGAGCUUCGACUGCGCUUCGUAGGUUACGUCUACGUUAAAACGUUACAGUUAAAUAUAACUGCUAAAAACGAAAAUAAUACUUUCGCUUUAGCUGCCUAAAAACAGCGAGUGAAGAUCCUCUUGGCAUCGCCCAUGUGCUCAAGUAAGGGUCUCAAAUUCAGUGGGAUACGUUAAACUUUUCCGUCUGUAAAGUUUAAAAGAGAUCAUCAGACUAGCAAUGCUCGAGGCCGGUUGUAUGGCAUAAGGCUGCGCGAAAUUUAAAUGAUACAACUAUGAGCGUAGAUGUUUAAGUGGCAAUAUAUUUGGACGCGGGUUCGACUCCCGCCGCCUCCAUCA
rnacentral:tmRNA from 1 species